UACGGGGGGGGCAAGCGUUGUUCGGAAUUACUGGGCGUAAAGGGUUUGUAGGUGGCUUGUUAAGUCAGACGUGAAAUCCCUCAGCCUAACUGGGGAACUGCGUCUGAUACUGGCGAGCUUGAGUGCAGGAGAGGAACGCGGAAUUCCAGGUGUAGCGGUGAAAUGCGUAGAUAUCUGGAGGAACACCGGUGGCGAAGGCGGCGUUCUGGACUGCAACUGACACUGCGAAACGAAAGCCAGGGUAGCAAACGGG
rnacentral:rRNA from 1 species